AUUGAACGCUGGCGGCAGGCCUAACACAUGCAAGUCGAACGGUAACAGGAAGCAGCUUGCUGCUUCGCUGACGAGUGGCGGACGGGUGAGUCAUGUCUGUGAAACUGCCUGAUGGAGGGGGAUAACUACUGGAAACGGUAGCUAAUACCGCAUAACGUCGCAAGACCAAAGAGGGGGACUUUAGGGCCUCUUGCCAUCGGAUGUGCCCAGAUGGGAUUAGCUAGUAGGUGGGGUAACGGCUCACCUAGGCGACGAUCCCUAGCUGGUCUGAGAGGAUGACCAGCCACACUGGAACUGAGACACGGUCCAGACUCCUACGGGAGGCAGCAGUGGGGAAUAUUGCACAAUGGGCGCAAGCCUGAUGCAGCCAUGCCGCGUGUAUGAAGAAGGCCUUCGGGUUGUAAAGUACUUUCAGCGGGGAGGAAGGGCGUAAAGUUAAUACCUUUGCUCAUUGACGUUACCCGCAGAAGAAGCGCCGGCUAACUCCGUG
rnacentral:rRNA from 1 species